GAUCAUGUCUACAAGUCGUUUUUGAACAUCUUGAACAUGUAUCGGAAAGAACAUAAGAAAGGUACCAGGGGACAUUCUACAGUUAAGUUAAGGUUAAGCCCUUUGGAAUCUCUCUUYUCUUGGCAAGGUGGCCCGAUCAUUAUGCUGCAGAUUGAAAAUGAGUAUGGGAAUAUUGAAAACUCUUAUGGACAAAAAGGGAAAGACUAUAUGAAAUGGGCUGCAAAUAUGGCUGUUG